rnacentral:rRNA from 1 species
CCUACGGGAGGCAGCAGUGGGGAAUAUUGGACAAUGGGGGCAACCCUGAUCCAGCCAUGCCGCGUGUGUGAAGAAGGCCCUCGGGUUGUAAAGCACUUUCAGUGAGGAAGAACGCCUGGUGGUUAAUACCCAUCAGGAAAGACAUCACUCACAGAAGAAGCACCGGCUAACUCCGUGCCAGCAGCCGCGGUAAUACGGAGGGUGCGAGCGUUAAUCGGAAUUACUGGGCGUAAAGCGCGCGUAGGUGGCUUGAUAAGCCGGUUGUGAAAGCCCCGGGCUCAACCUGGGAACGGCAUCCGGAACUGUCAAGUUAGAGUGCAGGAGAGGAAGGUAGAAUUCCCGGUGUAGCGGUGAAAUGCGUAGAGAUCGGGAGGAAUACCAGUGGCGAAGGCGGCCUUCUGGACUGACACUGACACUGAGGUGCGAAAGCGUGGGUAGCAAACAGGAUUAGAUACCCUAGUAGUC